rnacentral:rRNA from 1 species
UACGUAGGGUCCGAGCGUUUGUCCGGAAUUACUGGGCGUAAAGCGCGCGCAGGCGGCCCGCGAGGUGUCACGUGAAAGCCCCGGGCUCAACCCGGGAGGGUCGUGGCAAACCGGCGGCUUGAGGCCGGUAGAGGUGGGUGGAACUCCUGGUGGAGUGGUGAAAUGCGUAGAGAUCAGGAAGAACACCCGUGGCGAAGGCGGCCCACUGGGCCGGUACUGACGCUGAGG